AUGAACGCUAGCUACAGGCUUAACACAUGCAAGUCGAGGGGCAGCAUGGUCUUAGCUUGCUAAGGCCGAUGGCGACCGGCGCACGGGUGAGUAACACGUAUCCAACCUGCCGUCUACUCUUGGACAGCCUUCUGAAAGGAAGAUUAAUACAAGAUGGCAUCAUGAGUCCGCAUGUUCACAUGAUUAAAGGUAUUCCGGUAGACGAUGGGGAUGCGUUCCAUUAGAUAGUAGGCGGGGUAACGGCCCACCUAGUCUUCGAUGGAUAGGGGUUCUGAGAGGAAGGUCCCCCACAUUGGAACUGAGACACGGUCCAAACUCCUACGGGAGGCAGCAGUGAGGAAUAUUGGUCAAUGGGCGAGAGCCUGAACCAGCCAAGUAGCGUGAAGGAUGACUGCCCUAUGGGUUGUAAACUUCUUUUAUAAAGGAAUAAAGUCGGGUAUGGAUACCCGUUUGCAUGUACUUUAUGAAUAAGGAUCGGCUAACUCCGUGCCAGCAGCCGCGGUAAUACGGAGGAUCCGAGCGUUAUCCGGAUUUAUUGGGUUUAAAGGGAGCGUAGAUGGAUGUUUAAGUCAGUUGUGAAAGUUUGCGGCUCAACCGUAAAAUUGCAGUUGAUACUGGAUAUCUUGAGUGCAGUUGAGGCAGGCGGAAUUCGUGGUGUAGCGGUGAAAUGCUUAGAUAUCACGAAGAACUCCGAUUGCGAAGGCAGCCUGCUAAGCUGCAACUGACAUUGAGGCUCGAAAGUGUGGGUAUCAAACAGGAUUAGAUACCCUGGUAGUCCGCACGGUAAACGAUGGAUGCCCGCUGUUGGUCUGAAUAGGUCAGCGGCCAAGCGAAAGCAUUAAGCAUCCCACCUGGGGAGUACGCCGGCAACGGUGAAACUCAAAGGAAUUGACGGGGGCCCGCACAAGCGGAGGAACAUGUGGUUUAAUUCGAUGAUACGCGAGGAACCUUACCCGGGCUUAAAUUGCAGAUGAAUUACGGUGAAAGCCGUAAGCCGCAAGGCAUCUGUGAAGGUGCUGCAUGGUUGUCGUCAGCUCGUGCCGUGAGGUGUCGGCUUAAGUGCCAUAACGAGCGCAACCCUUGUUGUCAGUUACUAACAGGUUCCGCUGAGGACUCUGACAAGACUGCCAUCGUAAGAUGUGAGGAAGGUGGGGAUGACGUCAAAUCAGCACGGCCCUUACGUCCGGGGCUACACACGUGUUACAAUGGGGGGGUACAGAGGGCCGCUACCACGCGAGUGGAUGCCAAUCCCCAAAACCUCUCUCAGUUCGGACUGGAGUCUGCAACCCGACUCCACGAAGCUGGAUUCGCUAGUAAUCGCGCAUCAGCCACGGCGCGGUGAAUACGUUCCCGGGCCUUGUACACACCGCCCGUCAAGCCAUGGGAGCCGGGGGUACCUGAAGUGCGUAACCGCGAGGAGCGCCCUAGGGUAAAACUGGUGACUGGGGCU
rnacentral:rRNA from 1 species